UACGAAGGGGCUAGCGUUGCUCGGAAUCACUGGGCGUAAAGCGCACGUAGGCGGACUCUUAAGUCGGUGGUGAAAUCCUGGAGCUCAACUCCAGAACUGCCUUCGAUACUGGCGAUCUCGAGUCCGGGAGAGGUGAGUGGAACUGCGAGUGUAGAGGUGAAAUUCGUAGAUAUUCGCAAGAACACCAGUGGCGAAGGCGGCUCACUGGCCCGGUACUGACGCUGAGGCACGAAAGCGUGGGGAGCAAACAGGG
rnacentral:rRNA from 1 species